rnacentral:rRNA from 1 species
GAUGAACGCUGGCGGCGUGCCUAAUACAUGCAAGUCGAGCGAACAGACGAGGAGCUUGCUCCUCUGACGUUAGCGGCGGACGGGUGAGUAACACGUGGAUAACCUACCUAUAAGACUGGGAUAACUUCGGGAAACCGGAGCUAAUACCGGAUAAUAUAUUGAACCGCAUGGUUCAAUAGUGAAAGACGGUUUUGCUGUCACUUAUAGAUGGAUCCGCGCCGCAUUAGCUAGUUGGUAAGGUAACGGCUUACCAAGGCAACGAUGCGUAGCCGACCUGAGAGGGUGAUCGGCCACACUGGAACGGAGACACGGUCCAGACUCCUAAGGGAGGCAGCAGUAGGGAAUCUUCCGCAAUGGGCGAAAGCCUGACGGAGCAACGCCGAGUGAGUGAUGAAGGUCUUCGGAGCGUAAAACUCUGUUAUGAGGGAAGAACAAAUGUGUAAGUAACUAUGCACGUCUUGACGGUACCUAAUCAGAAAGCCACGGCUAACUACGUG